UCCCUGGUGGUCCAGUGGUUAAGAUGCCACACUCCAAAUGCAGGGGGCACAGGUUUGAUCCCUGGUCUGGGAA
rnacentral:tRNA from 1 species